AGAGUUUGAUCCUGGCUCAGAAUGAACGCUGGCGGCGCGCCUAAUACAUGCAAGUCGAGCGAGAAGACGUAGCAAUACGUUUGUAAAGCGGCGAACGGGUGAGGAAUACAUGGGUAACCUACCCUCGAGUGGGGAAUAACUAGCCGAAAGGUUAGCUAAUACCGCGUACGCUCCUUGGACUUCGGUUCAGGGAGGAAAGCGAUACCGUGGGUAUCGCGCUCUUGGUUGGGCUCAUGUCCUAUCAGCUUGUUGGUGAGGUAACGGCUCACCAAGGCUUCGACGGGUAGCUGGUCUGAGAGGACGAUCAGCCACACUGGCACUGCGACACGGGCCAGACUCCUACGGGAGGCAGCAGUAAGGAAUAUUGCGCAAUGGGCGAAAGCCUGACGCAGCGACGCCGCGUGGGGGAUGAAGGUCUUCGGAUUGUAAACCCCUUUCGGGAGGGAAGAUGGAACGAGCAAUCGUUCGGACGGUACCUCCAGAAGCAGCC
rnacentral:rRNA from 1 species